GGACAAGUGGUAGUCUGAUUUCAAUCUUCAGGUAGCAACAAGGAUGUCCUCUGUGUCAUCUCCUUCCUUUUUUCUUGAACCUGAUGAAUGAUCAUUUGGACUAAGAAGAUAAAAUGGCACCCAAACCACCUCCCAAACCUCCACCACCAAAGAAUGUUUUCGAGCGAUUCAGUGACUACCUGGAUUCAGAUUGAGGCAAAAGAAGAACUAAAAUACUGGUUUCACUCUUCUUCGUUCUUGCUGUGGUAAUGUACUAUAUGUCCAAUCUACUUUUCCCUCCUCAAGGGCUUUAUAGAUAAGAUGUCACAAAUGGCUCAACGUGACUACUGGGUUGGACUCUGGAAGAACAGCAGUGCUACCAAUGGACUGUUGUGGCAAGCUGGAUUUCAUGCGGGAACUACGUACUGGGCCAAAGGGCAACCCAAUGGUAGAGAUAGAGAAAACUGCAUUGCCGUCUUACCUAAAUGCUCACUUAAGGCCUGUUGGCAUGAUGCUCCUUAUUCUGACCUAAGAUUCUUUUCUUGUAAGAUGAUACCCAAGGACAUGUGGUUCUACUAGCUAAUUCAAGACGAUGGAAAUUGAUUAUAAGAUCUCCAAACUCCGCUGCCUUGGUGUUAAUAAAUGCAUUCUGGGAACCAAA